UGGCUGCAGUUUUUUGCUUAAAACAGUGUAAGUAGCAAUUUAAGACCGGAAGUAUGAAAUAGUAAACAAAGGGUUGUAGCAGGCCCAGGGCCUGCAAGGCCUCCUUGGAGGUCAGAAGCCUGAGCUAGGAAAUGCCAAGUCAUGAUGACGGGACCUUAGCAGCCCCUCUCUUCCACCUUUCAGACCCUGCUCAUCUCUCUGUAAGCCCAUAGGUCACUUUCCUUUGACCCUUACUAUCGGACAAUUUCCAAAACCCCUGUAAGGUAUAUAAACCCCUACUUCUGCCUGGUUUGGCAGAAGAGCUGUCACUGAGAACCUUUGUAGAGGACACCAAUAAAGAAUUCUUCGGAACCUCACACAACGCUUCUCCUCUUUCUCCCGGAGUUUGCUAUGGCACCUAGCAAGCUAAAGAGCUGAAAUCCCAAAGAGCUGAUAAUCACUAAGAGCUGAUAUCCCUUGAGCUUGCUUAGGUUGUCUGUGGCUGGGAGCUGCUUGGGAAUUCGGAUGCUGUGCUGAGCCCCACAGAGCUAUCAUGGCCAAGCCAGCCCACCGGGCAUAGCCCGGCUGGAAGCCGCCUUCAAUAAAGGGUGGUGGCUCUGCAUUGACCAGAGCAUUGGACCAGAUGACCUCUACAUGAAGUACAGGUUAUCUCACCAAAUGAGCACUAGAUAAUCAGCAAACUGCCUUUUAUGCCAAGUAGUCACGUUCUUGCCAAGGGUUUUGUCGUGGAUCAAUAUGCACCCCAGAGAAAAUGGAUUUUUUCCUGUUCUUGACAGAUGAUUGCCAUAUUGAAGCUCAUCAUGAGUUUGCUCUAGCUGGUAACUAUGUUGAUAUGCACAAAAGAAGAGGGAAUUAACUGAAUAAGCACAAGAAAUAAAGUAUUUUCAUGUUUCUACAGAUGGCUUAAAUAAAGGCUGAGAAAUUAUUUGAAGAA